GGGAAUCAGCGACGCUGCGUGCCCGUGUGCAACUGGAGCGCGCAGGCCAAACGGUGCGCCGUGACGAAAGCUGGAGGAGUCCCUUACCUUGACGAACGGCAGGCGGACACAUUCAAAAAAAGUGUUUGUAAGAGGAGACGUUGAGCCUCUGCAUCGCUCCUUCCGCUUUUUCUUUGGGGCCGGCGAUGUUGUUGCCGGCCGAGGCUCUGCGCUACAGCACCUAUAAGUGAACUACAGGGGGUUGUCCCGGGAAGCUUUCGAUCGCAUCGGGCCUAAGAGGGAAAAAAGGAGAACUGUUAUGCGGCCUGUAGACGCCAAGGCAUGGAAUAGCGCUAGCAUGUGCCGGGAAUCAAGACUUGCCCUGCUGGAGCCUCGAUUCUCCGCACAUGCCCGGCACUACUGGCACUUACCUUGGCAUUUCGGGCAGGGAGGUGGCACGGCGGAAUCGCGGUCCGGGAGUAGGCCGCCGCCCGCGCACAACCUCUCCGUCCGACCUUCACUGGAAAACACCUGCCCGAAGGUUAAAGAUGGCAACUGUGGCGC
rnacentral:lncRNA from 1 species